ensembl:rRNA 5S_rRNA 5S ribosomal RNA
GUAUAUAGCCAUGCCGCCCUGAACGUGUCCAAUCUCGUCUGAUCUCAGAAGCUAAGGAGGAUCGAGCUUGGUUAUUACUUGGUUGAGAGACCACUUAGAAAUACCAAGUGCUGUAGGCA